CCCUGGGAUAGCUCAGGUGAUACAGCAUGGGACUCUUAAUCUCAGGGUUGUGGGUUUGAGCCCCACGUUGGGCA